AGAGUUCCUAUGUGCUCUAAGUGUUAUCAAUUGGGACCAAUAGAGUAACCAGUGAACUCUGAAGACAUUAAUUAGUAAUAAAAGGGACAGACCAAUAUUACCAAGUACAGGAGAGGACAUUUUGGUAACAUUAGUAAUUGAUCCAUUGGUACUAGAAGACAAAAUAUCACUUGGGAUAUUUUAUGUCACUACUUAAUAUUAUAUAUUAUAUAUAUUAUAUAGUAUAUGUAUGUGUGUGGUGGAUAAGAAAAGUAGAGGUUGGUAAGAAAAGAGGAUAAGAAUAGAAGAAGAGAGAAGGAGAGUUAUCAGGAAAAGGAGAAGAAAAGAAAAGAAAGAGAAAAAGAGAAAGAGGAAAGAAGAGCUUGGAGGAAAAAGAAGAAAACCCAUGGAGGAUCAUCAUCUUCCCCAACAAAAUCUCAUCUUCUUGUCACCAUAUUUAUCUUUAUCUUCAUCUUCA
rnacentral:lncRNA from 1 species